GAUGAACGCUGGCGGCGUGCCUAAUACAUGCAAGUCGAGCGAACAGACGAGGAGCUUGCUCCUCUGACGUUAGCGGCGGACGGGUGAGUAACACGUGGAUAACCUACCUAUAAGACUGGGAUAACUUCGGGAAACCGGAGCUAAUACCGGAUAAUAUAUUGAACCGCAUGGUUCAAUAGUGAAAGACGGUUUUGCUGUCACUUAUAGAUGGAUCCGCGCCGCAUUAGCUAGUUGGUAAGGUAACGGCUUACCAAGGCAACGAUGCGUAGCCGACCUGAGAGGGUGAACGGCCACACUGGAACUGAAACACGGUCCAGACGCCUAAGGGAGGCAGCAGUAGGGAAUCUUCCGCAAAGGGCGAAAGCCUGACGGAGCAACGCCGCGUGAGUGAUGAAGGUCUUCGGAUCGUAAAACUCUGUUAUUAGGGAAGAACAAAUGUGUAAGUAACUAUGCACGUCUUGACGGUACCUAAUCAGAAAGCCACGGCUAACUACGUG
rnacentral:rRNA from 1 species